rnacentral:rRNA from 1 species
GACAGAGGUGCCAAGCGUUAGGCGGAAUCACUGGGCUUAAAGCGUGUGUAGGCGGACUUCUAAGUACCUUGUGAAAUCCCACGGCUUACCCGUGGAACUGCUCGGUAUACUGGUUGUCUUGAGCCACCUAGGGGCGAGUGGAACAAAUGGUGGAGCGGUGAAAUGCGUAGAUAUCAUUUGGAACGCCAAUGGUGAAAACAACUCGCUGGGGGUGUGCUGACGCUGAGACACGAAAGCCAGGGGAGCGAACGGG